GAUUUGUCUCAUUCAAAGUUUCCGUGUCCAACUUUAAUCGUCCGUCUUAUUUAAAAUUUUUUUAUGAUUAGUAUUUUUAUUGUUAUUAGAUGAUAAAAUAUGAAUAGUACUUUAUGCGUGACUUAUGUUUUUUAAUUUUUUACAAAAAAAAUUAAAUAAGACAGACAAUUAAAUUUGGAAAAAAAAACCCACGGUUGUACUUAAA
rfam:Oryza sativa Japonica Group DNA, chromosome 8, cultivar: Nipponbare, complete sequence.